UACGUAGGGUGCGAGCGUUAAUCGGAAUUACUGGGCGUAAAGCGCGCGUAGGCGGCUUUGCAAGUCGGGUGUGAAAUCCCCAGGCUUAACCUGGGAACUGCAUUCGAGACUGCAUUGCUAGAGUAUGGGAGAGGGAAGUGGAAUUUCCGGUGUAGCGGUGAAAUGCGUAGAUAUCGGAAGGAACAUCAGUGGCGAAAGCGACUUCCUGGACCAAUACUGACGCUCAUGUGCGAAAGCGUGGGGAG
rnacentral:rRNA from 1 species